CAGGUUCCUGCCCAGCCCAAAGCCCUCGCCCCAAACCCUCCGGUGGCUGCGGCUCCAGCACAGCCUCCUGUCCCCAGCCCGCUGCCAGGGAUAAAAAUAACCGGGCAGGAGAAGGGAGAGGCAGCGGGAGCCGCAGCGCACCCUGCGACCGGGUCCCUCUGCGUGGGGACGGCCAGGCCGGAGGGCUCUGCCCCGGUCCCCAGCCCACCGAAGUGGGACAGGGCGCACAGCACGGUGCUGGGGUCGCUGUCCUUGUCCUUGACACGGGAUGAGAGGGGACUUGUCCUACUUUAUGGGGGCAAAAGGGUCUUGCUGGCCCCCACGGGGUUCUGGGGAUGGUUUGGGGGUGCUGGGUGGCUGUAGGGACAGCGUAUCUCCCCGCUCCACCCAUGUCCCAAAGCCCCCAGCACCCACCAGAAACCUUCCCGGUGGGAAAGAGCAGUUUGUGUUCAAGGGACGGGACAGCGGCCGCGCCGCCUCCUCCCGAAAAUCUGGCGAAGGGCUGCAGCCACGCCGGGGGCGGGUGGCCGCGGCCGUGCCUAUGUUAGGAUGUUCUGGUGCCGAGGGCAGAUUGCGUCGCGGGCAAGAAUUAAUUAACGCUAAGCAUUUUUGGACAGCGGCCCAGGCUCUUUUUGCUGUUUUCAUCUCUGCCAGCUCCAACCAAGCCCUCCGGUGUCCGCUGGGUCCCAGGCCCGGCGUUAGCCCGCAGCGUGGGGAUGUCCCC